AUCCGCACGCCCAUCUCUUUUCCUUCUUCUUUCUUCUUUUUCUUUUACCCUUCUUCCUUCUUUGUUCUACCCGAACGCAGAGAGAGAAAGAGAUUGAGAGUGAGAUCGGGAGAGUUGAGGAGAUGGAGCCCGAUCCUCCAUGGAUCGACGCCGGCGAUGCGAGUUCCGGCCGAUUCUACCGGUGGGUCGACUAUGGUGGUGCCUAGGACUCGAUUUCCGGCGGAACCCAAGAGCUUGAACCCGCAACCCGCGACCCGAACCCAAGAACCCGUGAGACCCGAUCUUUCGGUGGUGUAGUCCGGCGAGUUCUCCGACGAACCAGAGCCGAUUUCCGGCCUUGCUUCGGAUAGAGUCUGGAUUGGAGACUUCAAUUGGUUCUCCAAUGUAGAGUUCGAGUCAUAAGUCCAAUGCAGCCAGAUGUGGCAAACCCCCACAACCGUAUAGAUGAUGUUCCUUUGGUUGCAGGUAUUCCGGUCGUAGUUGAUAGCAUUGUAGAAGGGUACUUUGGAUGUUAUGACUGAAGCACGCCGCAACGGUCGUAAUUGGUGGACCACGGGUUGUCCACUUGUUUAUAGGUUUGGUUUAUGGCUUGUGACAUUUGUGUCACUUAUUCUUGUAAAGCCAUUUAUGUUAUGUAUUUAUAUCGAGGAAAGACUUAACAGAUAGAUUUAAUAUGGCUCUUUGUUUAUGAUUAUUUGUAAUAGAAGUUUAUGUUAAGAUUUUCGCUA